UACGUAGGGGGCAAGCGUUGUCCGGAAUCAUUGGGCGUAAAGCGCGUGUAGGCGGCUCGGUAAGUCCGCUCUGAAAGUCCAGGGCUCAACCCUGGGAUGCGGGUGGAUACUGCCGGGCUCGAGUCCGGAAGAGGCGAGUGGAAUUCCCGGUGUAGCGGUGGAAUGCGUAGAGAUCGGGAAGAACAUCGGUGGCGAAGGCGGCCUGCUGGGCUCUUGCUGACACUGAGGCGCGACAGCGUGGGGAGCAAACAGG
rnacentral:rRNA from 1 species